AGAAGGCUUUUCUCUCAUGCCGUGGAUCACCCAUCACUUUAAGGUCCAGAGUAGACCACAUUCCUUCCUUGGCUUAUGAGCAAUUGCUCUUAUGUAAUGUUUAAACCUGGGGUCUGAAAGCACUGACUUUCAUCUACUGGGACCCAUCCCUGGAGCUGAAGGUGGCAUCGUUUCUGUACCAGCCAGCAUUGUGAGGUGGGCUGUAUUGAUGACAUUGCAUUCUAGCGUGUGGGGGUGUCUCAGGAAGCCACUGGUAAAAUGACCCCGUGUCGUGCCACAGCUACGACGUCCUCUGCGCCUCCAGUCUUGCCUGGCAGGGCUGCCCACUUUUUUCCCUGAUUACAGCUGCGGCAGGUCACGUUCUGAACCUCGGCGCCCCUGCACAAGCUGCUCCUUCUGCACGGAUUGCCCUCGCUCCCGGCGCCCUGCCUCUUUAAUCAGCUAACAACCGCCAGAAGCUCAGCUCCCACUCUCCGUGGCGUUUCUAUUCACUGUCUCAUUGACUGCGCUUACCACGCCCACUCUGCGUUGCCAGGAUGACCGUUUCCUCCCACCUCUUGCUCUGAAGAGUGAUGCACAGACGGCGUUCGCUCAGCAUCCUCAGCAUCCCGGAUUCCCUGAGGUAGAAUGACUGGAGCCUCUGCUUUUAACAUGCAGCCCUCUGUGAACUCCUGUCCUGUACAUGUGUCGGCUUACAGCAGAUUGCCCUGAGAUCAUUCUGAUCGUAAGGACUGGCGCAGAUUCCCUCUUGGACUCUGGCUCUUGGGAGCCAAGGAGAGCAAUGGUUGAGCUGGUGGUCAGUGUCUUUCCUGCUUACCCAGAGAAGGCCUCACCACUGAAAAGCUUCGCUUGCCCCAGAUUGCAGACCUGGGGUAACUUUCUCACAUCUUGGCACCUGAGGUUUCUUCUCUACAGGAAGAGAGGGCUAGGUUACAGCUUCCUCUCAGUCUCUUCUAGUCCUGCAAGCUACUGAAAUCUCCACUUUCUAAAAGCCAUUUGCUUGGAGUUACAGCUGUGUCAAACAAAAGUCUUUGGUGUGGCAAUUUACCACUAUACGAAGAUUCCUAAAACAGGCAACACCUUCUUACCUGCUCUUCAUCUCUCCCAAGCAAGAUAUAGUCUACCAGGGGACCCCACAGGUGACCCUGUGAACUGGGAAUUCUGUUUAAUUCAAAUUCAAUAUAUAUAUAUUUUUUAAGAGGAAAUGGCAUUGCUAAGGUUUGGCAGCAAGGGCAGCAUGCUUCAGGAAACUUACAGCUCGAGGUGGAGGUGAGGGCUGGGCCUUCGUCUCCAGAGAGAGGGGGUAAUUGUAGUGGAUAGAUGGAUUCCCAGAUUCUUCAGGAGGAGGGUCGUUGGUGACGUCAGCAAUUCACUCUGACUGGAGUAAUUCCAUAGACAACAAUGAGAGAUAGGAAAGUAGAGGUUGUUCUCACAGCUAUGCAUUCUGAAACAGCAACAAAAGAAUAACAAGGAUAGGUACUCUACCUUUGGUCAUAAUGUAAUCCCCACCAGAAAAACACGCAGGAAGGCCAUCUUGAGGAUGGCCAAAUCCCCAGCAGAUAGCUCUUGAAGGUGAGUCCCUGUGCCCUAGACUAGGCUGCACUGCUACCAGGAAAAGUGUGACAAUACAAGGAACCUUCUACGACACAGAGAUGAAGUGCUCAGUACAUAUUCUGCCCUUAGGAGGCAUGGCUUCUGCACCAGAGAGGCUGGGAUUCCCUAGACUCUCUGGCAUUUUGGCUUCUAUAUGAAUGCCUAAACCAACCGGACGUGGACUCGUGUGGGACUCAGGAGGUAGGGGUGAGGUGGAGAUCAUCUUUCAGCAUCUUCUGCUGACCGUGGUGAUCACAGAGCUAUGCAUGGAGAGAGGGGCUUGCCCAUCUAUAUGCCCAUCUAUAUACAGGACAUUCAUUCUGGAGCUGCACGUUGUUAGCAAGUCUGGAGGCAUUUCUG